AACACACACUAAAAAACUAGUUGAAGCCGCGAGACACGGAUCAGAGUGCCAAGUGGGCCAUUUUUGGUAAGCAGAACUGGCGCUGUGGGAUGAACCAAACGUCGAGUUAAAGCGCCUAAAUCGACGCUUAUGGGAUACCAUGAAAGGCGUUGGUAACUUAAGACAGCAGGACGGUGGCCAUGGAAGUCGGA
rnacentral:rRNA from 1 species